AUACUUACCUGGCAGGGGGAGACACCAUGAUCAUGAAGCUGGUUUUCCUAGGGUGAAGCCUAUCCACUGCACUCUGGAUGUGCUGACCCCUGUGAUGUCCCCAAAUGUGGGAAACUCGACUGCAUAAUUUGUGGUAGUGGGGGACUGCAUUCACACUCUCCCCUG
rnacentral:snRNA from 1 species